CCUACGGGAGACAGCAGUGGGGAAUAUUGCGCAAUGGGCGAAAGCCUGACGCAGCGACGCCGCGUGAGGGAUGAAGGUCUUCGGAUCGUAAACCUCUGUCAGCAGGGAAGAACGGUCACUGUGCUAAUCAGCAGUGAAUUGACGGUACCUGCAAAGGAAGCACCGGCUAACUCCGUGCCAGCAGCCGCGGGAAUACGGAGGGUGCGAGCGUUAAUCGGAAUUACUGGGCGUAAGGCGCUCGUAGGCGGUAUGUCAAGUCAAGGGUGAAAUCCCCGCGCUCAACGUGGGAACUGCCGUUGAAACUGGCAAACUUGAGUGUGUGAGAGGAUAGUGGAAUUCGAGGUGUAGGAGUGAAAUCCGUAGAUAUCUGGAGGAACAUCAGUGGCGAAGGCGACUAUCUGGCACAUAACUGACGCUGAGGAGCGAAAGCGUGGGUAGCAAACAGGAUUAGAUACCCGGGUAGUC
rnacentral:rRNA from 1 species